AGGACAACCCCUCUGGUCUUUUAACUCAGCUACCAUUAGUUUCUUCUUGAAAGAAACUAAUCUUUCUGCCUAGCUGAAAUUCCUUGACAGAUGAAAUUUUUUUCUAAUAAAUCAGAAGUCUGAGAUUUGAGCCAAUGAAGUGGCUUCUCUUUGUAAAUUUGGGUGUUCUUGGAGACAAUAUAAUCAAAAUUUUCCUUGAGCAAUGUCUUACACAGAUCAUCUAAAACUAAAAAAAAUAAAAUAAAAUAAAAUACUUGAAAUUUUUCAAAUUUUGAGUCAACUGAUUUUUGAUAAUAGGAAUGUAUAUAUUCUGUGAGAAAUGCGUAAAUUUGCUCAUGUUGACACUGAGCAGAAUUGUUAGGUGGCGUGCGGUGUUUGCUGUUUUCGUGUGUACUUUUCAGAGUGUCCCUCUUUUCCCAAAGUGUUUUGGGUGGGUUGUAAUACUUGGGUUUACUUUCACCCCCCUGUGGUUCUCUUUGUGUGUGUGUGUGCAUGUGCAAGAGUCCAGCCGCUGUGUAACUGGCACGCCUAUAACCCAGAACCUGUUAAAAAUCACUUAAGGUAUCUUGGUUAGAAAUUUAGAUUUCAUUUUGCUGGGUUUUGUGGAAUUUUUUUGACUAAGUUGUUGAAGAGAGAUGUAGAUCUGAAGUGCUGUCUUCAGUAUUGCCUACUGUGUAUCUUUAAUACUUGAACUCUGUGUCUGCUGCUGCUGCCACCGCCGCUGCUGCUACUGUAAAUCGCAACUGGCAUUCAUCAGCGAAUGUGCAUUGGACCCUCUUUCCUUCUUUCCCUGCUGUGACACCUACAGUAUGAGCUUCUGUGUCUGCACUGAAUCCUGCCUUAGAAAUAUGCCUUUGACUAAACUUUAAAUAUUUUUCCAUGUAUUUUUACCUAUAGAGUAAUCACGAUUCCAGUAAGAAGCACUUUGAUUUGUGGUUAUGAACUGUACAAGUAACGCUCGCUUGUGCUAAGCGCGUGCUGUGCUGACGUAAUCCUUUAUGACAUCCCAUCUGUUUGGAGACAAAUGUCAUUUGUCAGCUUGUCAGUGCUGACUAGAUAGGUGACUUAUUUGCGUGUCACGAAAGUGCACGCUCCUCUGCAGUGUCAGAGCGCCCUGUACUGUGCAUUGGUUAAAGUGAAUCACAGAUCUACUAAAACAAUAAAGUUGUAUUUAAUGAAGAAUA
rnacentral:lncRNA from 1 species